UACGUAGGGUGCGAGCGUUGUCCGGAAUUACUGGGCGUAAAGAGCUCGUAGGUGGUUUGUCGCGUUGUUCGUGAAAACCGGGGGCUUAACCCUCGGCGUGCGGACGAUACGGGCAGACUUGAGUACUGCAGGGGAGACUGGAAUUCCUGGUGUAGCGGUGGAAUGCGCAGAUAUCAGGAGGAACACCGGUGGCGAAGGCGGGUCUCUGGGCAGUAACUGACGCUGAGGAGCGAAAGCGUGGGGAGCGAACAGG
rnacentral:rRNA from 1 species